GAUGAACGCUGGCGGCGUGCUUAACACAUGCAAGUCGAACGGAAAGGCCACAGCUUGCUGUGGUACUCGAGUGGCGAACGGGUGAGUAACACGUGGGUGAUCUGCCCUGUACUUCGGGAUAAGCUUGGGAAACUGGGUCUAAUACCGGAUAGGAAUCCCAUGUGGGUGUGUGGUUGGAAAGCUUUUGCGGUAUGGGAUGAGCUCGCGGCUUAUCAGCUUGUUGGUGGGGUAAUGGCCUACCAAGGCGUCGACGGGUAGCCGGCCUGAGAGGGUGUACGGCCACAUUGGGACUGAGAUACGGCCCAGACUCCUACGGGAGGCAGCAGUGGGGAAUAUUGCACAAUGGGCGCAAGCCUGAUGCAGCGACGCCGCGUGGGGGAUGACGGCCUUCGGGUUGUAAACUCCUUUCGCCAGUGACGAAGCGAAAGUGACGGUACCUGGUUAAGAAGCACCGGCUAACUACGUG
rnacentral:rRNA from 1 species